rnacentral:rRNA from 1 species
GACGAACGCUGGCGGCGUGCUUAACACAUGCAAGUCGAACGGAAAGGCCCUGCUUUUGUGGGGUGCUCGAGUGGCGAACGGGUGAGUAACACGUGAGUAACCUGCCCUUGACUUUGGGAUAACUUCAGGAAACUGGGGCUAAUACCGGAUAGGAGCUCCUGCUGCAUGGUGGGGGUUGGAAAGUUUCGGCGGUUGGGGAUGGACUCGCGGCUUAUCAGCUUGUUGGUGGGGUAGUGGCUUACCAAGGCUUUGACGGGUAGCCGGCCUGAGAGGGUGACCGGCCACAUUGGGACUGAGAUACGGCCCAGACUCCUACGGGAGGCAGCAGUGGGGAAUAUUGCACAAUGGGCGGAAGCCUGAUGCAGCAACGCCGCGUGCGGGAUGACGGCUUCGGGUUGUAAACCGCUUUCGCCUGUGACGAAGCGUGAGUGACGGUAAUGGGUAAAGAAGCACCGGCUAACUACGUGC